CGAAGUCGGCCGCUUAACCGACUGAGCCACCCAGGCGCCCCUAUUCUUUCCUUUUUGAAGGAGGUGUUGCCAAAUUGAAGUGUGCAGAGUUUCAUUUAAUAUACUUUCCAAAUAGUAUCUAGAAUUUGCAACAUGAACUGUAGGAUAGGUAAGUUGAUGAGGCAAGAGUCCUAAAAAUAAACCAGAUUUCUGGGUACAAAUAUUAGCCCCAGUAUUUAUUAGUUUUGUGUGACUUCGGAUAAGAUACCUAAUGUCUCUGAGUCAUAGUUUCCACAAAUGUACAAUCAGGACAGUAAGUCCUACCAGAGAGAGGAAUUGUCAGAUGUAGCAAUUAACCUAUAUAAUGCAGCCAGCUGACACCUGGUAUAUGAUAGGGCUUCAAAAAUAGGAACUAUAUUUCCAUUCUCAUUGUCACUUUAGUUCAGAUCUUGGGAAUGUCUCUUCCGGGCAUUCUAGUAGCUUCCAGUUUUCCUUGUCUAUAGUCCUCUCAUUUGUCCAUUUUGCUUACUCAUUAGUAUUUAUAUACCAUUUUCCAUACAAUCUUCUUGAACUUAUACUUAAUAUUGUACCAUGUCCCAAUUUCCAGAGUAGAGUUCAUACUUCUUAGCAUAGCAUUUAAGGACAUCUGUGCUCUGACUCCAAAUAACAUCUCCUUUAUAAAGACCUUGUGUACUAUUGUCCAUUUCCUCUUCAUGUCUUGAAUUUUUUUCUCUCCAUAAUUUUACUCACUUUCCCCCUCUAACUACAACACUUUCCAUUUUUACAUAUUGGAAUCCUAUUUAUGCUUUAAAUUCCAGCUUCAAUGCCAUACCAUCCAUGAAAUUUUCCUUAGUCCUUUAGCCAGAAGUGAUCUCUCUACUGAAACUGCUUAACAAUUCUUUAUAUUAAUGGUAAAUGCCUAUGCACUUGCAUAAUGCUAAGCUCAACAGAUACUUACAAUUUGGAUAUUAUGUAACCUGUCUAGAGUAGUUGACAAUACAAACAACUCCCCAUCCAUUUUCUUCUUUUGACUUCCAAAAGCUGGGUUUCUUACUUCCUCUCUGGCUUCCCCUUCUCAGUCUUCUCGGUGGGUGUAUUAGUUUCCUAGAAGUUGCCGUGAAAAUGUACCACAAACUGGAUGGCUUAAAACAACUUACAUUUAUUAUUUCCCAGUUCUGGCUUCUAGAAGUCAAAAUCAAGAUGUUGGCAGGUCCAUGUUCCAUCUGACGUCUCUAGGGGAGGAUCUUUCUUGACUCUUCCAGCUUCUGGGAGCCCCAGGCUUUCCUUGGCUUAUACCAACAUAGCUCCAGUCUCGGACUGAAUCUUCACAUCUUCUCUGUCUGCAACAUUCUUUUCCUGUGUCUCUACUUUCUCUUCUUAUAAGGGCCCCAGUCAUACUGGAUUAAGGCCUAUCCUAGUUGAGAAUGACCACAUAUUAAUUUGAUUAUAUCUGCAAAUACUCUAUUUUCAAAUAAGGUCACAUGUACAAGUAUUAGGUGUUAAGACAUAGCUUUCUGGGAAAAACAAUUUUACUGAUAACAAUGGGGUUCCCAUCUUUUACCUCUUUUUAAAGUAUUAGGGCUCUUCAGAGUGAUUUCCUAGGCUUCUCUCAGCAGUAAUUUAAAUAAUGACAAAAACUAAAAGAAGUUUUUAGCACCCAAUAUGGUGACUCUCAAAACCCAAGAAUCCAAGUAGGAUGCUCAAGAUAUAGUCUUCUGAUGUAUUUUCCUAGACUACAGCUACUUUCCCUUAGCUUUUCCUUUCAAAGCACAUUUACGAUGGAUUCUUUAAAAAAAUUCAAUGAGUGUUCUUUUUAAAAAAGAGAAGAAGAGAAUUUAAUAAGUCAACAUUGAAAAUGUGAAAGUUAUAUGAGAUAGAUAUGCACUGGUCCUCACCUUUUUUUCCUUCACGUAGAAAACGAGAAAUGAUUCCCCACUGGGAGCAUAGUUGUUAUGGACUACUGAAUUUUUUUCUCCUCCAACAUUUGCAUGUUGAAGUCUUAACCUCCAAUACCUCAGAAUUUGAUUGUGUUUGGAGAUAGGGCCUUCAAAGAGGUGAUUAAGUUGAAAUGAGACCAUUAGGGUGGACCAUAAUCUAAUCUGACUGGUGUCCUUAUAAGAAGAAAUUUGUACACAUUCAGAGACACCACCCAGAAUGUUAAUACAGAAAAGAUUAGAGAGAUGAAGGCGGGGUUUGAUAAGGAGGGGAGGGAGAGAAGGAGAGAAGAGGAAAAGAAGAAAGAAGAAUGGAAGAAAGACCAAUUUGUUGGUAUCAUUUGUGUCGUGCUGAGAUUCGACUACCUCUGCACAUUUCAACUACAUAAGCGAAUAGAUACCACCCCUUCUCCCCAUACCCUUUUUCUCCUUAUGCUGAUUUGGGAUUCUGUUAACUUGAAUGCAAAGCAUCUGACUAACCCAUCCUUCUUACCCGUUUUGGUUCUUUUGUUUACAUCUUCUAUUGAGGUGGCAUUUCAGAGGACAUCUUUAGCAGUAUGGACAUUUAUCUGACCUCUCACAAAGGAGAUGUGAUAAUAGACUGUGUCUUGAGUCUCAGAAACAUAGACUGGGAGUGAAUUCAGACUCUGAAGACUAAGAGAAGUAUCCUAAAUUAGGGGAAAAGAAGAAAGCCAAGGGUGAAACAAAGAGAGCUCAGUUGGUACACCGUUGAGAAAGAGGCCCUGCAUACUGUUAAUGAAUCCUUCACUAAUCAACACCCUGCUGAGAUCUUCCAUGUGGCAGAGAACCUGGCUGCUGGAAGCUGCCGCUCACAGCCACACUUAUUCACCACCAUAGGAGGGGAAAAUGCUGCUGAACCCUUUGACGCCCACCCCUUGAUCCUCCCGACCCAGCUUCUGUUUGAAAAGCUUCAGAGAUCAAUGUUCACUACCCUUCUAUUGGUGUUCCCACCCCAUAGAACUGUGAUAUACUAUGACAAAUCCUCCUUGGAUUUAAGUCCCUAUGGACCUUAAUGGAAAGUGGCCAGUAUUUCUGAUAGCCUCGGUGAUUGGCACACACAUACUAUAAAUGAAUUUUCACAUAGCACAAAGCCAUGUGCAAGGUGGCCUCUGAAGCCAGGAUGCUGUAGCAGAUCCAUGCGCUUGGAAUCCGAGGGGCAGCAGUUUGCCACCAAAGGAAAUACUGUGACCAGAAGAAGAGAAAAGGGGGAGCUGGCUGGGAAAAUAGUAAGUCUCCCCCACAGUCUGUACUGGGUAGGUAUCUAGUAGGACCACACUAAUAAAGGCUUCCUGGGGAUGCCUGGGUGGCUUAGUCAGUUGAGUGUCCGACUCUUGAUUUUGGCUCAGGUCAUGAUCCUCGGCCAUGGGAUUGAGUCCUGCAUUG